UCAAAUACCUCUCUGCUUUAUAGGACUGUCCUGAGGUACCAGUAAGAUCACCUCUCUCUUUGCAACCUUGACCAUCCACAACAGCUGAGUUCUACCAGAAUCAUGAAACUAUCAAUGAAUAAAGGGAGUCUCACGAUGGCUAGACACAGAAUUUUCACUUUUUCACAGGAGCUGGACCUACACUAUUGAACUCAUUCCUACUGCAGUCACACAUGCUGCUGGGCUGUCAAGUUGAGGGGGGACAAGGCAAGAGAUUCUGCAUUAAGAUUUAUGUGAGCAUCUUUCUGACAUCACAAGAUGACUAUGGAUUGAUGUGCAUUGGCUGAUACGAGUUUGACCAAACAGGAACAAACUCAUCACUACUCAAACGUGGAACUUAUAAGAAUGACUACUAUCAAUGAAUGACAACUAGUAU